GUUUAAUGCAUGAUGACGCAGUUACUAUUAGUUACCAGCUCGUGAAGUCAUAUGAUGACUCUUUCUUUCUGCUCCAGUUUUCAGUGCAGUUUCACCCCUGGCAAAGAGUGGGAAAAACCAAAGCUUGUACCACCUGACCACUGCAGAUUUAAGGUGUGUUCGACCUGAAGAGGCGCUGUGCAGACCCAUCUGUGACAUCAGAGUGAUUCGAAAGCAUACAGAGCUUAAUUUACAACUCUGGCACCCCAUGAAGUCGAUGAGCCUAGCAUGCAGCCCUGUGUGAGACACAUUUUUCAACACCUGAAGUGAUCGCAGCAGGAAAAAAACUCCAAAAUGAGAUCAACUAAAAAACAGCUAGUUGCCAACAGCUGCCGAGCACUUUUUGGCAAGAGAACGUCCUCCUGGCAGAGGCCUCGGCAGACAUAAUUCUCACUAUCUGCUAAUGGCGUGGGGAGUCUUUUCAAGCAGGGAAACAGAGGACAGAGACAACACACUAUACUGACAAGAUUAAUAAUGAACCGAAUGGAAAGGAAAGGAUUUACAUAGGAUUCUGUCUGGACCUUUGAAUCCAUUUUUCUUUUAAUAUUCUGAUUGCUGCAAAAGAAAUGGAAGGGAGAAAGAAAUAUAAGGAGUAGUAUGAGAAAAGCUGAAGAGACUGCUUAAAAUAGAAUGAGAAAACAAAGACUGUAUGGUCCAAAUAUGGAAAGAUAAACAGACAGACGGGGGAAGAUGAGAAUCUAAGUGAACACUUGAGAAAAUGUUUUUAAACAAAUGACCCUGGAUUGGCCACUAGGCAAAGAUACUAGAAGCAAUUGCAAAUGAAAACUGAAACACUUAAAGUCCACAGUACUUCUGUUAAAGAGCUGACAACAUGCAGUAACAAAUAUUUGUACUUUAUCCAAAGAAAAUUUAAGUGGUCCUUGCCUGGGCAAAACUCGCAGCUACAAUACCCAAAAGUCUUGAAAAUAGUAUUUAAUGCAUUUCUAUGUAGUGUCUUAGAUGUUUCAGGUGAUUAUAUGUGUUCUAGGGCAGGGGUGUUCAAUCCUGCUCCUAAAGGGGACAAAGUCCUGCAGAGUUUAGCUCCAAUCCUAAUCAAACACACCUGAAGCUGCUAAUCGAGAUCUCUGUGAUAUUCUGGUCUACAGGGCUGAAUUCCCAAAUGGCACCUUAUACCCUCACAGUCUUCCUCUACUUCCGCACUUUCAUGAUGCUAUGCCCCUUUGACUGCCGGGUAAAGUCCUCUGCUUAGCUUGCGGACUCAGCAGAAGUGCCCAUCGAGGGCGCAUAGGGCACUCAUGAGCACCCUUCUGAAACCUAAAAUGAUGAAUGGGACACGUGUACGCGGCAGCCAUUGUAAGUCCACAAGACCAAAAGUGCACAGAAGUGUGCCAUUUGGGAUUCAGCCUAGAUAUGGCUUUGAUCCCUCUUUCAAUGUAGGCAUGUGGUAUUUUUCACAUUUUAUUACCCACCGACAGAUGAAAAUUGUACGACUUAGCUUAGAAAAGUAAGAGCACAUUUUUCCUGUAAUAAGCCACACAAUUUAGUGAAUAGUGAAGUGACCUGAAGGCCAAGUAUGGUAACCCAUACUCGCAAUUUUCCUCUGUAUUUAACCCAUCCAUGUUAGUGCACACACAUUAGGAGUAGUGAGUAGUGAACACACACCCGGAGCAGUGGGCUGCCAUUCACUGUGGCGCCCGGGAGUGAUUGGGGAUUAGGUCAGUCAUUUUCUGCUGGUAUCGAGAAUCAAACCCUAACUUAAAAUUAGAGAUUUGAACUAAACCUAAGUAUAAGCAAUAGUAGUGAUGCUUACCUUAGCACACACAAAUAAUGAGAAGAACGACAGUACAACAUCUUCAUGCAAUCUUUUUUGAAGAUAUUGAAUACAAACAUUUCAUGUUUCACAUUUAGACUCUUACCUGUCAGAAGGAAAGGCUAGAUUCUUUUCAGAAAGUUUAUGGCAGCUCCUUUUACUUUCAUCAAGUUUAUAGCAAUUCCUAAGACCUUCAUGGUCACCUUUGGGCUCUGUGGUGCACCUGCAUCUGGCCAACAGGCUUGGAGUUUUGCACAAGGUGGAAAACAACACAAACCAAAGUCAGGGGGUGCUUCGUGUCAGCUCCACCCCCCCAUAGGAUGCGAGGGAAGGAUGCAAAGAAAGAAAAUGAGGAUGCAAUAAUCGAAGAAAAGCUUAUUUGUACAUUGGAAUAUUCUUGAUCACUCAAAAGUAACUUCAAAGCGUCAUCAGCUGCGCUCAAGGGAUCUGCCCUUAUGUUGAAGAAGUUUGGUUAUUUAAGAAAUUCAUAAUAAAUAAUAAUAACGCAAGAUGCCCUUUUGAAACGUGAGAUGUAAGGUUUAUUUAAAGGUGCCGUAGAACAUCUUUUUAAAAGAUGUAAUAUAAGUCUAAGGUGUCCCCUGAAUG